rnacentral:rRNA from 1 species
UUGGGAAUAUUGGACAAUGGAGGAAACUCUGAUCCAGUGACGCCGCGUGAAGGAAGAAGGUCUUCGGAUUGUAAACUUAUUUUGUUAGGGAAGAAAAAAUGACUGUACCUAAAGAAAAAGCACCGGCUAACUACGUGCCAGCAGCCGCGGUAAUACGUAGGGUGCAAGCGUUAUCCGGAUUUACUGGGUGUAAAGGGCGAGUAGACGGUUUUGUAAGUCAGAUGUGAAAACUUAGAGCUCAACUUUAAGACUGCAUCUGAAACUGUAGAACUAGAGUGCAGGAGAGGUAAGCGGAAUUCCUAGUGUAGCGGUGAAAUGCGUAGAUAUUAGGAGGAACACCAGUGGCGAAGGCGGCUUACUGGACUGUAACUGACGUUGAGGCGCGAAAGUGUGGGGAGCAAACA